rnacentral:rRNA from 1 species
UCCUAAUACAUGCAAGUCGAACGAACUUCCGUUAAUUGAUUAUGACGUGCUUGCACUGAAUGAGAUUUUAACACGAAGUGAGUGGCGGACGGGUGAGUAACACGUGGGUAACCUGCCCAGAAGCAGGGGAUAACACCUGGAAACAGAUGCUAAUACCGUAUAACAGAGAAAACCGCCUGGUUUUCUUUUAAAAGAUGGCUCUGCUAUCACUUCUGGAUGGACCCGCGGCGCAUUAGCUGGUUGGUGAGGUAACGGCUCACCAAGGCGAUGAUGCGUAGCCGACCUGAGAGGGUAAUCGGCCACAUUGGGACUGAGACACGGCCCAGACUCCUACGGGAGGCAGCAGUAGGGAAUCUUCCACAAUGGACGCAAGUCUGAUGGAGCAACGCCGCGUGAGUGAAGAAGGGUUUCGGCUCGUAAAGCUCUGUUGUUAAAGAAGAACGUGGGUGAGAGUAACUGUUCACC